rnacentral:rRNA from 1 species
GACAGAGGGUGCAAACGUUGUUCGGAAUUACUGGGCGUAAAGCGCGUGUAGGCGGCUCGGAAAGUCGGGUGUGAAAGCCCUGGGCUUAACCCAGGAAGUGCACUCGAAACUUCCGAGCUGGAGUCCUGGAGAGGAAGGCGGAAUUCUCGGUGUAGAGGUGAAAUUCGUAGAUAUCGAGAGGAACACCGGUGGCGAAGGCGGCCUUCUGGACAGUGACUGACGCUGAGACGCGAAAGCGUGGGGAGCAAACAGG